AAUGAACAGAAAAAGACUCACGGUGGUUCAGUAGCAUUUAUCCCUAUUGUAGUUCAUAAUGCAUUUAUCUCAUAAAUAUCAGAUAUUAGGAGUGGAGAGUAGGAGAGAUAAUACAUAUUCUCCUGUUAUUGUCAUUGGAGAUUUUAAUAAGGGCAACCUCACUCACGAACUCCCGAAAUACAAACAGUUAGUCAAAUGCCCGACCAGGGAGGAGAAUACUUUGGACCACUGCUACAGCACCAUCAGCAGGGCUUAUCAUGCAGUUUCACACGCUGCUCUGGGGCUAUCCGACCACGCUCUUAUUCACCUGAUCCCGGCUUACAGACAAAAACUUAAAAUUUCUAAACCUGCUGUGCGGAGAACAAAAAACUGGAACAACAGAGAAGCUGUGGAGGAGCUGCGUGGCUGCCUGGAUGACACAGACUGGGACAUUUUUAGAACUUCUUCCAGCAGUCUGGACGAAUAUACAGAGGCUGUGACGUCAUACAUUAGCUUCUGCGAGGACAGCUGUAUUCCAACACGCACCAGGGUUAUCUACAACAACGACAAGCCUUGGUUCACUGCAAGACUCAAACAGCUUCGUUUGGAGAAGGAGGAGGCUUUCAAGAGUGGGGACAAGGAUAGGUUCAGACUGGCGAAAUACUCUUUUGGCAAGGAGAUUAAGGAGGCCAAACGACAGUACUCUAAGAAGUUGGAACAUCAAUUUGCAGCCAAUGACUCCUCGUCAGUCUGGAAAGGCCUUCAGGUGAUCACAGGCUGCAAAACCAAAUCCCCCCACUCUAUGGAAGACCUUAGACUGGCAAAUGAUCUGAAUGACUUCUACUGUAGAUUCGACAGACAAUGGACCAGUCCUAACCCUGUCCCCACCACAGCUAUCACAUCUACUCUUCCCAGCCUGGACAAAGACUCCACCCUCUCCCACAGAAUUAUCCCAGACAGCCCUCUCCCCCCCAUCACACCUCUCUCCAUUCAGGAGAGGGAUGUCAAUAAGCUCUUAAAAAGACAGAACCCCCGCAAAGCAGCUGGACCAGAUGCUGUCUCUCCCUCCACACUAAGGUACUGUGCGGACCAGCUGUCUCCAGUGUUCACGGACAUCUUUAACACCUCACUGGCUGAAUGCGUGGUCCCUGCCUGCUUUAAAACCUCCACCAUCAUCCCCGUUCCCAAAAAGCAGAGGAUCACAGGCCUUAAUGACUAUAGACCAGUCGCCCUGACCUCUGUGGUAAUGAAGACCUUUGAGCGCCUCGUGCUGACCCACCUCAAGGCCAUCACCAACCACCUCCUCGACCCACUGC
rnacentral:lncRNA from 1 species